UUAAAUUGAAGAGUUUGAUCAUGGCUCAGAUUGAACGCUGGCGGCAGGCCUAACACAUGCAAGUCGAACGGUAACAGGAAACAGCUUACUG
rnacentral:rRNA from 1 species